ACGUAGGGAGCGAGCGUUGUCCGGAAUUACUGGGCGUAAAGGGCGCGUAGGCGGGGAUUUAAGUUAGAUGUGAAAACUACCGGCUUAACCUGGAGAAGGCAUUUGAAACUGAGUAUCUUGAGGGCGGGUGAGGAAGGCAGAAUUCCUGGUGUAGCGGUGUAAUGCGUAGAUAUUAGGAGGAACACCGGAGGCGAAGGCGACUUUCUGGGCUGUCCCUGACGCUUAACUGCGAAGGUGUGGGUAUCGAACGG
rnacentral:rRNA from 1 species